UCAAGGAAAGCAUCAUAUACAUAAUUAAGAAUGGCUCUACAUAAGGCUGCCCAGCUACGCCUGAUGGAAAAAGAGAAGAACAAAAGUCCAUCCUAUGCUAUGCGCAUUUCUUUGCAAAUUAACUAAGUGGUUUGGAGCAUGAUUGUUGAUGGUAAAUCUUUUGCCGAGGCUGAGAUCAAUGACAUGAUUUAUGACUUUGACCGGGAUUACAAGGAUGUUGGUGUUGCUCAGUUUACAACAAAAAAUUUUGUUGUCAGAAACUGCCUGCCAAAUGCCAAGUCAGAUAUGCUAUCAGCAUGGAAUCCUCCUACUGAAUGGGAAAAGAAAGUUUUGCUUCGCGUGGAUGCAAAGCAAGGAGCUCCCAAGGAUGGAAAUUCUUCUCUUGAACGUUUUCAGGUAGAGAUCUAUCCUCUCAAGAUUCAUUUAACCGAGGCAAUGUACAGAAUGAUGUGGGGAUAUUUAUUCCCAGAAGAAGAACAAGAUUCACAAUGACGGCAGGAAGUUUGGAAGGUUUCAACAACUGCUGGUGCAAAACGUGUGAAGAAAGGCUCAUUAGUCCCAGAGAUUUCUGCAUUAAGCGGUCAAACAAAUAAAGAGUCUGAGGCCUCAUCCAAAGCAAGUCCCUCUGCCCCUGCUACCAGUCAAUCCUCCGUUCAUGCAGAUCCUGUGCAAGAAUCAAAAUUGCAAAACCUAAAGACAACAGUUGGUGGUAGUCCAACCAGAGAGUUAAGAAGAACGUUUUUCUUUGACAGAUCAUGGGAAGACACUGGCAGAAUCAGUUGCUACAGAACUUGUCUUACAGAGCAUUACUGGGCCACUUGGUUCUAUUGAACUAGAUGAGUCCUCGAAGAAUAAAUUGAAAGACCCCAAAGCUGUCAAAUCUGGUAGGUCAUCCCAUGAAGAAAAGAAGGUAACAAAAUCACAAGAAGAGAAAAGAUUUAGGCCACGAAAGAUGCAGUUUCACAAUAUUAAGAUAAGCCAGGUUGAGCUAUGUGUUACUUACGAAGGAUCUAGAUUUGUUGUAAAUGAUCUUAAGUUGCUGAUGGAUACAUUUCACCGUGUUGAGUUCACCGGCACUUGGCGGAGACUCUUUUCGCGGGUUAAGAAGCAUAUCAUUUGGGGAGUCUUGAAGUCUGAUGGGAAUGCAGGGUAAGAAGUUCAAGGAUAAGGCUAAUAGUCAGAGGGAACCCAGUGGAUCGGGUGUUCCCGAUAGUGACCUUAAUUUCAGUGACAAUGAAGGUCAGCCAGAAGAACCUGACCAGAAUCCUAUACCGUUUCUCAACUGUCCAAGUGACGGAGCAGGUGAUGGAUUUGUCACCUCCAUCAGAGGCCUUUUCAAUACUCAACGUCGCAAGGCCAAGGCAUUCGUACUGCGAACCAUGAGGGGUGAAGCAGAGAAUGAUUUCCAAGGAGAUUGGAGUGAAAGUGAUGCAGAGUUCUCUCCAUUUGCUAGGCAGCUCACAAUAACGAAAGCUAAGAGACUUAUCCGGCGGCACACUAAAAAAUUCCGUUCAAGAAAAGGUUCAUCCUCACAACAGAGAGAUUCACUCGCAUCCUCGCCAAGGGAGACCACUGCAUUCGAUAGCCAUUCUUUGAGUGAAUCCUCGCCCUACGAAGAUUUUAAUGAGGGAAACAUUUUGUCCUCCAGAGAGGUUCCUUGAAGGCAGCUUUAAGAAACCCCAGUCGAGAAGGGGAGUAAAAUGAGACUAUUAUUUGUUCUAGUCGGGUGGCCACUACAGAAAGAAGGAUUUCAGGUGCCAUGUUCAUCAUCCAAGGACGCACGAGGAAGAUUGAUGCAUCCCUUGGUAUCGCUUCGAGACCGUGCAUUUGUGCAGCAGAAGACAGACUAACUUCGAGCAAUGCGAGUUGAAGCCAUCUCUCACGCCUUGAUGGUCUUCGGCCUCGGGAUGUAAUUCUAUUUGCCACAAGAGGCUGGUUGUAUAGUUUUGUAAGUUGAGCUGAAGAAAACAGAGGGUCCUAAAUUUGAAGAGCUCUCGGUUAAUUUCCCUAAAUCUGUACAUAGAUUCAAAUAUAAAUUUUGAAAUAAAUGAAUGUAGCAUCUCUCCCUCCUAAACCA